GCGGAGGCGGUGCGGGGGCGGCGGGCGACAGUGAGCCAGUCGCAGCCAACGCGGGCCCUGCCUGCCUGGCAACAGUCAGAGCCUCCCUCCCCUCCAGCCCCACCCAGGAGGAGAGCGCGGGAGUGCUGGGCGGCCUGCAGGUGCGGCGCGAUGCGAUGCACGGCUUUGUCCCCGCACGGCCUGGAGCAGUGCGCCGCCCGCCAAGGCUGAGUCAUGGCCGGGUGUGUGGCCAGAUGGCCCCACCCGCAUGGAUGCAGCGCUUGGCCCAGCCGGGUCUGGCUAGGGCGAUGGACUGGUGUGGCCACCACUAGGCUCGAGAAGCUGCUGAAGAUGCCCUGUUGCCGCCCAGCCCUGCCGGCGUGCCUCAUGUCUCCUGACAUGGCUGCCAGACAGUAGUCAGGAAUGUUGUCAUGAAGUAUGGCAAGCAUGUGUCUCUGUGUAGUUAGUAACUGUGUGCACCAUGAACCAGCACAAACGCGGUUCUGGAGUUCAGUCAUCUAAUUCACACUCUCACUUCCUGAGAUAGGAAUUAUGGUCUUCGUCUUCGUCUCUGGAGACUCUGAGAAGCAUCUGAGAAGCUUGCAUUCUCAGGCCCUGGUACCUAACCACUGCAUUGCAUGGCUGAUCUGUAAGCAUGUGGGUUACACAGCAAGGGAGAGGAUUCACCUCUCCCGUGACUCAUCAGAGAGCAAGACUGGGAUUUUCAACUUGCCUUAGCACCCUGCCUCUGUGUGAAGCUCUGAAGAUUGGCAUCGACAUGAGGUUGUUUAGAGGGGCUUUGCAAAGCUUUGGGUUCAAGCAAGCAUCCAAUCCAAGACUGACACAAAGUCAGCUUUCAAGGAAGGCAUAUUGGGAUUCAGGGAUUGUUGUGAAUGCGUCUCUCAAGCCCAGGGCUGACAAGUGCUCCCAGGACGCCGGGGAGUGUUGGUUUGCAAACUCCAUUGACUUCAGCGGCACACAUUGCCCCACCCUGACCACAUGUGUGGUGGUUGUCCUCACCCUAACCUGUUCCUCUCAGCUUUCCUUUGGUCUCCAGUCUCCACUCAUCUUCAAGGUCAAACUACACAUUCUCUUCCGCACUACCACCCUCUAGUGUACUGGGUCUCAACCCGUGGGUCUCGACCCCUUGAGGGGUCCUUUUAUGGGGCUCACCUAAGACCAUUGGAAAACACAGAUAUUUACAUUAUGAUUCAUAACAGUAAAAAUUACAGUUAUGAAGUAUCAGCAAAAAAAAUUUAUGGUUGGCAAACGGGUCACCAAAGCAGGAGGCACUGUGUUAAAGGGUGUCAGGGUCAGGAAGGGAGGGAACCCCUGAUCUAGAGCAUCGCUCUCGGGCCUGGGGCUGCAAGUCUGUGGUGAGAAGAGCCAACAGUGUGAGGCAGCGCAUGGGAAGUCUUACUCAUGUCUCUCUAGUUUAUUGUAAUCACCUUUAAGACUUGGCCAGGCAUGUCUGGGCCUUUGGACACUGUGUUACAUUGAAGGUGUUACAACAUUCAUACUCUAGAACUGUUUAAAAAAAAAAAAAGAAAAAACAAAAACUUCCCAGAAAUCGCUUAAUGUUUGCAGUGGAAACAGUUUUGUGUUGAGCUAUAUCCCAGCCCUUCUUGGCCACAGGUUGGACAUACCUAUAUCCUUAACCCUUUUGCUUGGGACGAGUUACAUGUCCAGUCCCCCAAAUUCAUACACUGAAGCUUGACUGGUUCAAAUAUGCACCCCCAAAAGUGUGUGUUAGGUAACCUUCAAGGCAAUAAUAGCAUUAAAGACCUGGGGCUGUUGGCAGAUGGGUAGGGCCCAGGACUUAGCGUGGUAAAAGCCCCGAGGCUAUGAAUUUGAGCUCUUUUACCCUCUGCCAUAGGAUGGUGAAGGAUGACUGUGUGCAGUUCUCAACCUUGGAAUUCCCAUCCUGAAGAGCAACGGUUCUUAACUUUCCUAGUGCUUCAGUCCUUUAAUACAAUUUCUUGUGCUGUAGGGAAUGACAUAAAAUCAUUUUGUUGCUAACUCA